rnacentral:tRNA from 1 species
GCCCAGGUAGCUCAGCGAGUAGAGCAGCGGACUGAAAAUCCGCGUGUCGGCGGUGCAAAUCCGUCCCUGGGCACCA